UACAGAGGUCCCGAGCGUUGUUCGGAUUCACUGGGCGUAAAGGGUGCGUAGGUGGUGAAGUAAGUCGGAUGUGAAAUCUCGGAGCUUAACUCCGAAACUGCAUUGGAAACUACUUUGCUCGAGGGUUGGAGGGGGGACUGGAAUUCUCGGUGUAGCAGUGAAAUGCGUAGAUAUCGGGAGGAACACCAGUGGCGAAGGCGGCUUCCUGGACCAGUACUGACGCUGAGGCGCGAAAGCUAGGGUAGCAAACAGG
rnacentral:rRNA from 1 species